AUCAGCAUUGAUUGAAGAGAAAUUCUCAACAUUUUUAAUGGAAAUAUAAUGUAUCAUUUCCAUUCAGUGUUUAAUCGGAAAUCAAUAGUUUUGCGAAGCUUCAAACGUCAAAAUCAAGGACAGCAGUUACUAUUGUAAAAACUUUCAUUUCGGAAGUUUUUUAAAGAACUGUUUCAACUUUUUAGUCCAUUUAUUUUACUGAAAAUGACAAAUGUGACAAUAAUAAAUUGUUCUAAAACUCAAAAUUUUUCUAAAACAAAGUAUUCAGACCCUAUUAACAAUAAAGUUAUAUGAAAUUAAAAGUUAUAAACCAAUAUACCUAUAACAACUAUUUGAACAAACUAUAAUUGAUGUUUUUUGAAAAAUGGAAGGUUUGUUCAGCUAUCGAUCGUCAACACCCUUCAGACAAAAAAAAAGAACUUCUAAAGAUGGAGAAGUAGAUGCGAUAUGCAGAUGAGGUCUCAUCGCUCGUUGCUGCAAGAACCUACAACCAAGCGUCGACGCAAGACAGAAUUAUCAGUAAGGUUAUUAUUCGAACAACGCUCUUUCUGGUUCAUUGAUAUUUGCUGGAUGAUCUUAGUCAGAACUAUUCGUUAUCACUGAUGGGCUUCAAUAAUGAAUGUAUCUGUAUCCUUUAUUGUUUAUCGAAAUUCUACGCCUUAGUUCUUGACAAACUUAUACAGAAUGUUAAUUUCUGAAAUGCCAUGAGUAAAGAAUUGCCGAAAAAUAAAUGAUUUUGACGACAUUGAAA